GGGGAUAUACACAUACCUCUCGGAUAAAACGCCUCACUAAAUCCAACAUGCUCAAAAGUGACUUUUCGCCAACAGCACCGCAGGGAUUCUAGGUGGCUUCUGUGUCCCAUAGUUUCUAUUGAAGACUGCUCACUGCUGGUGAAACUGACAAGUUCACCACAAACCAGAAACGGAGACUGUUUCCUUUAAAGUAAAAGUUGGCUUUAAAAAAAAGAAGGAAAAAAAACAAAAGAAAUUGUUGCAUCAGUAAGACCUGGUUUUUACUUUGUUAGCAAAUGUUUUUAGUUUCUGGUUUGAAGGUUUUUCACAUUUAGCCACCGGAGGUCGCCGAUCAGUCUCUAGCCUCCAUGACUGAGGCCCGAUGGACAUCUCUAACACAUGUUCCUGCCUGAUCAAAGUUGCAUUCACAUCAGCUUCUGACUGUAGAUUAUGUAUUUUAGAAUAAACCCUUUAAUUCUGGUAGUUUUGUUUCUUCCUAAUUAAUGUGGCCACUUUAAGCCGCAGCACUCCACAGUGUGAAUAACUGAGGGCAUCCUGUGCAGCUUUAACUGGAAGGCAGCCAUUGAGAGAUGAGGUGGCCCCCUGCUGGUCACAGGCUGCACCAGCAUGCUUGCAGCUCCUGUGCCACAAAGAAUUAGUUAAAAUAAAAAGCUUUGCCACAUCUCACCAUGUUGUUGAUACAUAAAUACAAGUUGUCCACAGGUUUUUGUUGUUGUUUUUUUCCCUUUUUAAAAAUGUUUUUUUUUUUAAUUUAUUUUGUUUUUUAUGUUAUGGCUUUGUGCUGUAGUGCACAAAUUUUUUUUUGGACUUUAAAAGUUUUUUUUCUCCUUUUUAUUCUUUUUAUUUAAAGAACAGUUUGUUUUCGUUGUUUUAUAGCGGACCAUCUGAUGAUGUUAAAUUUGACACGGUUGUACUGAGGACGAGGCGGUGCUUGGUGCAUACCGGAGGGAAGAACGUGGAAGACAAAUUCAGAAGUUUUGUUUCAAUCUGAUAUCAAGGCCAGCAGUUGAAUUUCAUGUAUUACCUUUUUUUUUUUUUUUUUUUUGCUGAACUGUGGUGCAGGUUGGAUGUAAUCUGGUGUAUCCCUUUUUAUUUAAUUUUUGUGAAUAGGGGAAAAUAAAAGUUUUUUUCUAUAAGCUUUGAGUCGACUCAGAAUUUUGUUGUCUAUGAUCAUAUAUACC
ensembl:lncRNA